UGGGGAAUCAUGGUCAAUGGGCGAAAGCCUGAACCUGCGACGCCGCGUGAGUGAUGAAGGUCGUAAGAUCGUACAACUCUUUUCAGGGAUCUUAAAGCCUGUCUGUCAACAACAGGCAGGUCUGACUCUCCCUGGAAGAAGCCCCAGCCAACUACGUGCCAGCAGCUGCGGUAAUACGUAGGGGGCGAGCGUUAUUCAGAAUUACUGGGUGUAAAGGGUAUGUAGGCGGCCCUUCAAGUCGCGUGUCAAAGUCCAGUGCUCAACGCUGGGUGUGCGCGCGAUACUGACGGGCUUGAGGGCUGUAGAGGUGAGCGGAAUUCCCGGUGUAGUGGUAAAAUACGUAGAGAUCGGGAGGAACACCAGCGGCGCAGGCGGCUCACUAGACAGUUUCUGACGCUAAGAUACGAAAGCGUGGGGAGCAAACA
rnacentral:rRNA from 1 species